GGCGCAUUAGCUCAAAUGGAUUGAGCCACGACCUUCUAAGUCGUUGGGUACCUGUUCGAGUCAGGUAUGCGCCUCCA
rnacentral:tRNA from 1 species